rnacentral:rRNA from 1 species
AACGUAGGGGGCAAGCGUUACUCGGAAUCACUGGGCGUAAAGGGCGCGUAGGUGGUAUGACAAGUCGUCUGUGAAAGCCCCCGGCUCAACUGGGGGAGGUCGGACGAAACUGCCAGGCUGGAGGACGGCAGAGGAAGGUGGAACGACCGGAGUAGCGGUGAAAUGCGUAGAUACCGGUCGGUAUCCCGAUGCGAAGGCAACCUUCUGGGUCGUUCCUGACGCUGAGGCGCGAAAGCGUGGGGAGCAAACCGGAUUAGAUACCCCGGUAGUCC